GCCGAGGGCGCUGAAGCAGGGCUGCCAACCCUGCUGCCUGACCCCAUCCUGGCCCCGGCUGCCUCCCCUGGGAACAUUAAGCAGCCACAGUGACAAAGGCGGACCCCACUCAGGCCCUGUGCCAAGCGCCUCACGACUUCACUCCCUGGGGUCUCUCUACAGGGGCCCUGAUGAGGGAGACCCAGGGGCCGUGGGAGCCCUGCCUGGGGGUCAAGAGAGCUUCCUGGUAGAGGUGAUGAUGGAGCAGAUGUUUAAGUCAAGAGGAGACAGGAAGGAGUUGAAGGAGAGUCAGGGGCUCGUGCAUGCGGAGAUGAUCCACCUUCAUGACGGUGCUGGCCAGAGGAUCGUGCGAGUCCCGUGCCUGCUCUGGGGCGAUGCCGAGAGCAGAUCCAGACAGCGGCGGCACUGCGUCCAAUCUCCAAUCCCCGAUGCACGCUCCAAACCUCUCAGUCCGGGCACCAUCCCGGGGAGGGACAGGGACCCCAGGGGAGGGACAGGGACCCCAGGAGAGGGCUGGGGACCCCAGGGGAGGGACGGAGACCCCAUGGGAGGGACAGAGACCCCAGGCAUCCCAAGGAGCGAGCAGGAAGAGGGACUGUCCAGGCUCAGGGAGGAGCAGAGGGGCCAGCUGGUGGCAGAGUGGGAAGUGGGGCUGAGCGCCUGGGCAGGCAGGUCAAAGUAGAGGAACAAAUAAUUUAUCAUCCAAACCAGGACACUUUUUGAGAGUGAAAGGAUGGGAAGCACUAAAAAUCAUUUAAAUUAUCAGUUGUUUAAAUAUUUAUUUAUUGGCCAACAAACUAGUUUUCAUAUAUUGGUGGACCUGUAAAAUAGUUAUAUUCAAACCUUUUUAAAAACAAUACAAUUACUUCUGAAACAUUUUAAAUAAAUUAUAUCAGUGCAUAUUAAGGCGCA
rnacentral:lncRNA from 1 species